UAAUAAUAUAAUAAUUAUCAAGUAGAAAUGGCAAAAGUUUUAGUUUACUACUAUCUCCUUCUUGUCAUCACAUAUUUCUCUGUUCUCAACCCUACUAUUGCUAAGGAAUGUGAUGUACCAGUUUAUGACAUACAAUGCAAAGACACCAAGGAUUGUGUGCCAAUUUGUGAUGAGAGAUUUCCUAGUCCAGUAUUUCCCAAAUCUUGUAUGGGGGGUGGUUCUGUUUGUAUUUGUGCCUAUAAUUGUUAAAAGGCUUAUUUUAAGUGGAUGAAUUAUUCAAAAUGUUAUAAGACUUAUCAUUUAUUUGAUUUAAUAAAUUAUAAGGUUAAUGUUUUAUGAUCAAAA